rnacentral:rRNA from 1 species
ACGUACGUCUACGAGAGUUAGUUAGACUAUGGCUCAGGACAACGCUGGCGGCGUGCUUCAUACAUGCAAGUCGAACGAGAAGCUGGACUUCGGUCAGUGGAAAGUGGCGGACGGGUGAGUAACACGUAGGAAAUCUGCCCUUUGGAGGGGGACAACAGUUGGAAACGACUGCUAAUACCCCAUAUGAGCUAAGCUGAAAUGCUUAUCUUGAAAACUCCGGUGCCAAAGGAUGAGCCUGCGCCUGAUUAGCUAGUUGGUGGUGUAAUGGACUACCAAGGCGACGAUCAGUAGCUGGUUUGAGAGGAUGAUCAGCCACAAUGGGACUGAGACACGGCCCAUACUCCUACGGGAGGCAGCAGUAGGGAAUUUUGCGCAAUGGGGGAAACCCUGACGCAGCAACGCCGCGUGAUUGAUGAAGCCCUUCGGGGUGUAAAGAUCUGUCAGUAGGGACGAAUUUUGACGGUACCUACAGAGGAAGCACCGGCUAACUCCGUGCCAGCCGCGGC